AGAAUUCUGGGAAGCGGAAGGCUGAGGCGAGAGACACUUCAGCCGCCGCCAUGACCAGCAGCAUGUGAAGAUGCCGGCUGUGGCUCUCCUGCAUAAGGACAUAUACUCCUGCCCAAGGGCCAUUUAUGAGACGCCUCCACCAUCCACGCCACGUAAGUUUCAACCAGGAGACCAACCUCCAUCACAAAGAUCCUGUUUCUGCUGGCACUGCUCAUCCUUUGCCACCCACGUUUCCUGCUGAUCCACAUCGACCUGCAGCACUCACCUGGACUGUCACUGACACAUCCUCUGGAGAAAUCCUCAAACAAGAAUCAGUUAUGGCUCCACCUGGGACCUGGUUCCCACCUUUAGAAUUUGAGAUCUUCAACAAAAGCUUUAAUACACAUUUGAGAAGAUCAAAGAAUGAUCUGAGAGAACGCUCACAGGAAAAAAACAAACAAAAAUCAAAACAGAAAAAGCCCAAACAGACAAAAUCUUUUGCACAUGAUCUCAAAUUUAUGUGAGAAAGACACACAUUAAUAAUAUGCCUACUUCUGCCUUCAAGUGCUGGGAUAACAGAUCAGUGUUGCUCUCAACCUUGGCCAGAAGCUUUCUGCAGUGGGCAGUAGUUAAUGAAGUGACUCAUGACCAAUUACAACAACAGGAAUGUUCAACUCCAAAUGGGAUAUCUAUAUCAUCCACCCCCAUGCCCGCAAGGCUCAGAGAACACUGUGGAAGAUGGGGAGGAAAGAACGUAAGAGCUGGAGGAUGAGCACUUGGAAAUGCCAUCUUUUGGACACAACAUGGCUACUGUACUCAAAAACAAACAGCAAUUGUGUUACCUGCCCAACAGCUGCCAAGAUCAAGCUAGUCAAAAGUCCCUCAUGGAUGGGGCAGAAAUUCACAAGGAAUCAUUCUAAGCUAAGCAGUUAUUAAUAGUUGACAGCAGCUGGGAGAGGAGUCAUUUUGCCUUGGGGUGUGUCCACUAGUAGGUUACCUAAAUUAAGAUGGAUGGGAUGGCUCCAUACCCUGGUACCUUUGUACAUAAAAGUAGCACUAAUUGGACUCAAUGGGUCACUGAAAAAAAAAAAAAAAAAAGAGCAUAUGUGAGGUUGGGGGCAUCUUAGAGGGAAUCAGAGUAGUAGGUAUGGGUAUAAUCAAAAUACAUUGUAUACAUAUGUGAAGGUUUCAAAGAAUAAGCAAAAAAUAAUAUAGUAAGAAAUAAAAGUUUUCUCCAGUGGA